rnacentral:sRNA from 1 species
GUAUGUGUACUGCAAAACUUUUAUUCUUAGAGCACCUAUUGUUUUACUUUAUUCUUAGAGCACCUAUUGUUUUACUUUAUUCUUAGAGCACCUAUUGUUUUACUUUAUUCUUAGAAUACCUACUGUUUUACUUUAUUCUUAGAGCACCUAUUGUUUUACUUUAUUCUUAGAGCACCUAUUGUUUUACUUUAUUCUUAGAGCACCAUUGUUUACUUUUUACUUCUGUACAGCUGAAGCAGCAGAAAACAGGUCAGCUCAAAACCAACCCAGUACAAGCCAAUCAUUACAGAGGAGCUCUUUCACCGAGCAUUUCUUUACUGUCCGCAGUCUCCAGGAUAUGUCCAUGUCUGUGUUAUCCCGCAGGUUCACUGACCCUCGUAAUCCCAUCUACUCCAUAUCGGGUCUUUCAGAAGAGAUACUCCAAAAGUUUUUUAGCUUACCUGAAGAAGGAAGGGCUCUUAAAACCCAAGAUCUUACAUAUGUUACCAAGCUAUCUCCUAAAGCUGACUUUAGAUUUCUAUCCCUACACUACCAAUGAAUUAUUAUAUGCUGCCAGAAUUUUCGUCAAUCUUCACACUCUCAGUCUUAAUUCUUGUACACUCAUCACAGACAGUGGACUUAUUGCUAUUAAAGGU